UCCAGCCCGCGCUAACAAACAUUUACAUGAACUUUUAUUCACUGAACCACCACAUUCUGCCACUGCUGCAUGUUGGUGGAGUAAAAAGGCCUCUUAAAGGGCGUUUGGACAGCGGCAGCAGAAAUCUGUGCUGCAGAAUCAUCACUUCCUGUCCUGGGAGCAGGUCAGAACUUGGCUGACAACAACUGGCAUUUAGAUCAAAACUCUGUGGCUGCAGACAGUAAGUGGUAAUAAUUUGAUUUAGCACAAGCUAACGGGCUAACAGCGUGAGAAUCUGUUAUUGAUUUAGCACAAGCUAACGGGCUAACAGCGUGAGAAUCUGUUAUUGAUUUAGCACAAGCUAACGGGCUAACAGCGUGAGACUUUGCAUUGUGAUCACUCAGGUCACUCAGCUCCUGCAGACUUCAACAGGACGUCUGCUGCCUGCAGUUCACUGAGCCACCAGGGAUUCGCGCUCUUCUCACCGCAGCCACACUGCAUGUAAUCUCACAUGAUGGCUCUGAUGAUGGUGAUGAUGAUGUCUAAAACCCGAAGUUACCUGAAGUGCUCACCGCAGGAGGGGAAGUGGAGCCAAAAAACGCUGUGCUCAUCCAGACAUGCAGCAGUGUAACAGGUGUGUGUUCGUCGCGGAGUUUGUUACAGUCCUGCCUGUGAGACGCUUUUGCUCCUGUUUUCCCAGCGCUGCAACACACCCUGGCGUGGGCGGUGUUACCUGACAUGACACAAAGAAACAACACGACCGCCCGCCUCCAGCAGAGGGCGCUGGAAGCCCAAAGCUGCGCUGCGUGCAGACACAUCCUGCCCAGCAACUGUUCAUCCUCUCAUCGGCUGAAGCUUUUCAAUAAACCAGACAAACCCAUUCGCCCUGAGCCACGGCUCCCCGUCAUCACCCAGCGCGAGGAACAAAGGCGUCAGCCAAUUGUGCGCUGACCCUCCCGCGGGGCGCGAAGGCGGCCGGCUGCAGCCCCGACUUCACCUCGCCGACACGGAUCACAAUCAGGGCGGCAGAUGAACCGCGACGGCCGGGAGUCAUUUCGGACAAAGUGAGCAGCAGAGCGAAACCGGCAUCAAGUCUCAGCGAUGGGCAGCCUCGUGUCGAGUCUGCUUCGGGUCUACGUGCUGUUUGUUUGUUUGUUUGUGACCAGAAACAACACAGCAGCUGACGUCACAGAGGAAGGAAGAGAAGCGGAAGGAAAGCCUGCAGACCACAGCUGCCCACUGGGCCCACGACUAGUGCGAUUUGUUGACUUCCCACCCUGAUUAACAUGUAGGCACAGGAACUUACUGCACAUUUCACAAUAUAAAAAUAUAUUUAAGGCAACACUGAAACUCUCCCCAUCCUCAUCUCCUGCCUCCCACGCUGCUCCUGUGAGCUUAAAACACAAAUAACUGCAUUUUCUGGAUUAAUAAAUCCGUACUUAACGUCCCAAAAUCACUUUCUUUUUGGGCCGGAAGCUGAGCCACAAAUCGUCACAAUCUUUCCCUCCGUCUGCAAAGCACUUGUGAAACAAACAUUUUUCUGGAGGUUCUGAGUUUGCGGUUCAUCGUGGAGUGCAGCUUCAUUCAAUGACUAACGGUGACCAAAACGACGGCGUUUUGUUGUUUGUUGGAGGAAGGAAACUGCGGCCGAAAAGU